rnacentral:rRNA from 1 species
GAUGAACGCUGGCGGCGUGCUUAACACAUGCAAGUCGAACGGAAAGGCCCUGCUUUUGUGGGGUGCUCGAGUGGCGAACGGGUGAGUAACACGUGAGUAACCUGCCCUUGACUUUGGGAUAACUUCAGGAAACUGGGGCUAAUACCGUAUAGGAGCUCCUGCUGCAUGGUGGGGGUUGGAAAGUUUCGGCGGUUGGGGAUGGACUCGCGGCUUAUCAGCUUGUUGGUGGGGUAGUGGCUUACCAAGGCUUUGACGGGUAGCCGGCCUGAGAGGGUGACCGGCCACAUUGGGACUGAGAUACGGCCCAGACUCCUACGGGAGGCAGCAGUGGGGAAUAUUGCACAAUGGGCGGAAGCCUGAUGCAGCAACGCCGCGUGCGGGAUGACGGCCUUCGGGUUGUAAACCGCUUUCGCCUGUGACGAAGCGUGAGUGACGGUAAUGGGUAAAGAAGCACCGGCUAACUACGUG